rnacentral:rRNA from 1 species
AGCAGCCGCGGUAAUUCCAGCUCCAAUAGCGUAUAUUAAAGUUGUUGCAGUUAAAAAGCUCGUAGUUGAACUUCAGGCCUGGCUGGACGGUCCGCCCUCUGGGUGAGCACUGUCUGUGGUCGGGUCCUACCUUCUGGCGAAGCGGCAUGGCCUUAACCGGCCGUGGCGGGGAACCAGGACUUUUACNGUGAAAAAAUUGAGUGUUCAAAGCAGGCACGCGCUUGAAUACAUUAGCAUGGAAUAAUGGAAUAGGACAAUGGUUCUAUUUGUUGGUUUCUAGGACCGUUGUAAUGAUUAAUAGGGAUAGUUGGGGGCAUUAGUAUUCAAUUGUCAGAGGUGAAAUUCUUGGAUUUUAUGAAGACUAACUACUGCGAAAGCAUUUGCCAAGGAUGUUUUCAUUAAUCAAGAACGAAGUUAGGGAUCGAAGACGGUCAGAUACCGUCGUAGUCCUUAACCGAUUAAACUAUA